rnacentral:lncRNA from 1 species
AUGGGCAUUAACCCAGGAUCCCAGAAGGAAGGUGGAGUUAGGAUGGUUGUGAGAACAAUCAUGAAGGAGGAGCUGGAGGCCUCACAGACAAAAUCUUCCCUAUGGGACUUGUUCCGUACACCCAACCUGCGUAAGCGGAUAUGCCUCCUGUCCCUAGUGAGAUUUGUGGUGUGGACAUCUCUGUAUGGCCUGCUGAUCAACUUCCAGCACCUGAGGACUAAUGUCUUCCUAUUGCAGUGUCUUUUUGGUACAAUCACCAUUCCAGCCAAUUUAGUUGGAAUUUUUUUUUUUUUUUUUUUUUUUGGUGAAUCACUUGGGCCGCAGAAUAUGUCAACUAUGCCUGAUUGGAAUUUCCAUUUUGGCCAUAAUUUUUGUGCCUCAAGAGGAAGAGUCUCCAGACAAGCAAAGCAUAAAGAUACUUUCAUCAAAGUGACACAGUUUUAAGGAACUCCAAGAACUGAAAUCUGAUAAGCAGCAAGAUAAGAAAACUAUCACUGAGAUUUAAGAUGGUCCAGGUUCACUCUAGAUAUAGCAAAAUUCUUAAUCAAAUAACAUAGCAAAAAGUUUGUAUUAAAUUUAAAAUUUCCAUACUCAACUGAUACACAAAUUAUCUCAAUAACAAAAUUAAAGGAAAACAUAACACAGUGAAGUAAAUCUUCAGGGAUAUUUUUAUGAUAACAGACAGCUAUGACGUUUCUAGAUAGGAUGUGGAUGAAUCUUCUUCCAAUUAUUGUGACAUAAUGCUAGGGAAAAUUAAAGAUGAAUAAUUUACUGUGGAAUUCUCAUUAGUUUCAUCCCAUGGUUGUUGGGAUAAUUUCUUGUUCACUGUGUAAAGAUUGCCUUCAUAUUAUUCAAAUGCUGAUUUCAGUACUAGCAGAGAUUUGAGUACAGCUGGACUUUGGUAUUUUUUGAAGCAUCUCUCGUUUCAGUAUUCUGUAAACAUUUUCUCUAUUACCUCCUGAUCGGUUUAAUAAAGAGGUGAAUGGCUUGUGCCAGGGCAGGAGAGAAAAAGUGAGACAUUGAUUUGGUAAGACAUAGGAACUCUGGGAAAGAGUUGAUCAUGAAAUUGAUCAGCGAUUAAUAGGAAAUGUUCUUGAAGCCUCAGAAUUUUGUGAAGAAACACCAUGUUAACAGCAAAGGUUUGAAGAAAGAUUUUUCUAUUACUUGGCAGCAAGCCCAGAAAAUUGUAAGGAAGUGUUUUGUUCUUUGUAUAACCUAACUCCAUUACCUGCAGUAAGUAACCCAAAAGAUACCCAAAGAAAGGAAAUUUUACAAAUGGGUGUGUUUUAUUUUGCAGAGUUUGGAAAAAUUAAAAUAUGUGAACUAUUCCAUAGAUACAUAUUCAGGAUUUAAAAGGGCAACUGCUUUUCUGAAAAGGCUGAUUUUGUAAUUACACAUUUAUUAUAAGUUAUGGCUAUUAUGGGAAUACCAUUACAAAUUAAGACUGAAACUGCUCCAGCAUAUUUCUCUAGUAGAAUGAAAGAUUUCUUGCAUAUUAGAACAUAAAGCUUAUUAUAUGCAUUCCACAUAAUCCUACAGGACAAGCAAUUAUAGAAAGAUCAAAUCAGAGGCUGCCGGGAGUUGGUACUCCUGGCCGGAAGCAAAGGCACUGCAGGAGUGAUCCUGGGGCCUGCCUUCUGUGCUUGCAGCCUGGCGUGCAUGCCUGCUAGUGCGCUGCCUAGCCUGGGAUGUGCUGGGGAUGCGUGCCCGCCAGAUCUGCGGCUCCUGGCAGCUGGGUGUGGGGCUAUGGAACUGGGCAUGAAGAAGUUCACGGUGUGCAGGUACUUCUCUGUGUACCUGUGCAAGAAGUUGCGCUCCAAGAAGAGCUCCAGUCCCAGUCUCCUCGAGAGUCCUGCACCUGCUGGAGGACAUCUGUCCAGAGCCCUAGAGUGGCCUGUCUAGACGCUUCAGACAAAUGGAAUCCUAAAACUAGUGAUGCUCUGUGACUGGCUUCUUUCACUGGGGCUUAAUGUUUCCAAACCCCAUCCACACCAGCAUUUCUUUGUCCUGCAUCCUAUGGCCACACCAUAAAUUUAUUU